GUAGGGAAUAUUGGGCAAUGGAUGCAAGUCUGACCCAGCCAUCCCGCGUGCCGGAAGAAGGCCCUCAGGGUUGUAAACGGCUUUUGACGGUGAAGAAUCGACAGGAUGCGUCCUGUUUUGACGGUAGCCGUUGAAUAAGCACCGGCUAACUCCGUGCCAGCAGCCGCGGUAAUACGGAGGGUGCGAGCGGUGUCCGGAUUUAUUGGGUUUAAAGGGUGCGUAGGCUGGAAGGUCAGUCAGCGGUGAAAAGCUGUCGCUUAACGAUAGUCUUGCCGCAGAUACUUCCUUUCUUGGAUGAGGAGGAGGCCACUGGAACGGAUGGUGUAGCGGUGAAAUGCAUAGAUAUCAUCCAGAACACCGAUUGCGAAGGCAGGUGGCUGUACCUUAAUCGACGCUGAUGCACGAAAGCAUGGGGAGCAAACAGGAUUAGAAACCCUUGUAGUCC
rnacentral:rRNA from 1 species